UACGUAGGGUGCGAGCGUUGUCCGGAAUUAUUGGGCGUAAAGGGCUCGUAGGCGGUCUGUUGCGUCGGGAGUGAAAACUCAGGGCUUAACCCUGAGCCUGCUUCCGAUACGGGCAGACUAGAGGUAUGCAGGGGGAGAACGGAAUUCCUGGUGUAGCGGUGAAAUGCGUAGAUAUCUGGAGGAACACCGGUGGCGAAGGCGGCAUCCUGGACCAACACUGACGCUGAGUGAGCGAAAGCCAGGGGAGCAAAGCGGG
rnacentral:rRNA from 1 species